AGGACGAACGCUGGCGGCGUGCUUAACACAUGCAAGUCGAGCGGAAAGGCCCUUCGGGGUACUCGAGCGGCGAACGGGUGAGUAACACGUGAGCAACCUGCCCUUAGCUUCGGGAUAGCUCCGGGAAACCGGAAUUAAUACCGAAUAUGACUGCGGCUGACAUCAGCCACGGUGGAAAGUUUUUCGGCUAGGGAUGGGCUCGCGGCCUAUCAGCUAGUUGGUGAGGUAACGGCCCACCAAGGCGACGACGGGUA
rnacentral:rRNA from 1 species